rnacentral:rRNA from 1 species
CAGUAGCCGCGGGAAUACGUAGGGUGCAAGCGUUAAUCGGAAUUACUGGGCGUAAAGCGUGCGCAGGCGGUUUUGUAAGACAGAGGUGAAAUCCCCGGGCUCAACCUGGGAACUGCCUUUGUGACUGCAAGGCUAGAGUACGGCUGAGGGGGAUGGAAUUCCGCGUGUAGCAGUGAAAUGCGUAGAUAUGCGGAGGAACACCGAUGGCGAAGGCAAUCCCCUGGGCCUGUACUGACGCUCAUGCACGAAAGCGUGGGGAGCAAACAGGAUUAGAUACCCGGGUAGUCCCUGUCUCUUAUAC